rnacentral:rRNA from 1 species
UCAGGCCUAACACAUGCAAGUCGUACGGGAAUUUUUAAUUCAAGUGGCGGACGGGUGAGUAACACGUAAGAAUUUGCCUUUAGGAGGGGGACAACAACUGGAAACGGUUGCUAAUACCCCAUAUGCUUUCGAGUGAAAUGGAUUUUUCCGCCUAAAGAGAAGCUUGCGGCUGAUUAGCUUGUUGGUGAGGUAAUGGCUCACCAAGGCGACGAUCAGUAUCUGGUUUGAGAGGAUGAUCAGACACACUGGAACUGAGACACGGUCCAGACUCCUACGGGAGGCAGCAGUGGGGAAUUUUCCGCAAAGGGCGAAAGCCUGACGGAGCAAUCUCGCGUGAGGGUUGAAGGGCUAUGGGUUGCAAACCUCUUUUUCAGGGAGGAACAAAA